UUCCACUUCCCUCCUGUGGCCUCCCCAUGGGCUGCCUUGCCCUCCACAUGGCAUAAGGCAGGGAGGUGUCCAAAGCAUGAAGUGAUAAAAACUCAUGUUUCACCUCUGGGAGCAGGCUCACAGCCUUGUCAGGAAGAAAGAGGAUUUACUUCAACGCAUGGAUGAAACAACAGGUAUGAUGACACCGAGCCUCCAGAAUCCCCCCACUUCCCAUGGAGUGCUAGCCAAGGAAUUACCCGGCAUCAGGAGCGCUUUGUAUCUAUGAUCACAUCUUAUCCUCACAAUGAGGCUGUCAGUUCUUUCCUGUCCUAGCACUUCAAGUCCUCCUGCCCCUUCUCAAGCGAGAGCAGCCGAGAGCAGCCUGGAUCCCCAUUCCAGGCUCCGUGACGAAGCAACCCGGGCCAUACCACAGGACCAGUUCUUGCCUGGUGACUGGUAGGCAGAGGGGCCACUUGGUGGGAUGCUGGCUAUGCGGAGCUGAGGGUCUCACAAGCAGGUGUCUCUGCAGAAAUGCAGGCCACUCACCAUCUGUUUCCCAAGGGACCCCGAGCCUUCCUUUCUCAGCAAAAUCAGACCAUGAAUGGGCUCUGGCCGGAUCAGUGACGGACUUUGAGGCCUCAUCAGAAGGGAACCAGGUGCCUGCACUCGGGAGACAGGCUGAGAACACACCUGAGCCACACAUCCUGGUAAUUCCUUCCUCCUUGGCCUCGGGACACGGGAAGACAUGCACACAUUGACUGCUGGCUGUGGACACGGUGGCCUGACUCAUGGACUUACUGGUAACUCUUGACUCCCAUUUCUAGUUUUGUGUCCGUUGGCAAGUUGACUCAAGUUUAAGCCUGUUUUUCAUCUGUAAAAUGGCACUAAGUGUACCUAUUCCUUGGGCCAUUGUGUUCCAUAAGAGCAGGCACUCCAGGUUGCUGGGACCUCCCGUGCAAGGCUCAGACCACGGGGCAGGCUUGUGUUCUCUGUGGGAACGGUCAGUGGGCAGGUUGGUAGGAGUGUGGGGUCAACUCUGGUCUAGAGCUGGGAGAGCUCAGCCUUUGCUCUGCCCAGGGAUGGAGCUGAAGGCAGGGCCCGUGGGGAAGGAUGGAGGUUUUCCCAGACCAGGCUGGGCUGCAGACAGCAAGGCCACGGACAGAGCCUGGGAGUACUGGGGGCAGGGCUACGUGUCCCACUGCCCUCAGCGUCUGGCAGAGCUCAACAUCAACAUGGCCCUUGGCAAAUAACCUAAUGCCUGGGGGAUCUGCGAGCCAGGCCCACUCCAAAGCCAAGGGCCCCCAGCGCGAGGCCUGUGCCCGCCCCCCUCCAGACCCACCUCCUUGCCGAGUGGGCCCAGGUGUGUCAUGCGGUACAAGUUAUCUGAAGCUCAUCAUCCAAACAUCAAGGCUAAAUACAGCAGCCAGCUGUGACCACAGAGAGUUUUGUGAUGAUGUUUGAACUUGAAACUAUUUCCAGUAAUGAGAAAAUCAUGCCUUGGGAUCCAGUCUCCAGCGCUGGGCAGCCAUUUCUGCUGCUUUCCAGUCCAGAGACAGAGUGCAGGCAAGUCAGCUGGAAGCAUGAAGUUGGGCUGGGCCUUGCCAAGGGCCCAGCACCUCUGCCAAUUCCAAGGGAACAAAGGAAUGAGGGGGUGGUCCCCUGCAGACAGGUGGUUUACAACGGUGGGAAGUGGCUGGUCCUGCCAGCUUGCAUCAAGCACCAAGGCCAAAAUGAUGCUACCUCUGGGGCUGCAGCUCGUCUCCUGAAGACCAAAAAGUCAACACUUGCUACGGCUUUAUGGCCAUUCACCAUGGGUUGCCUGCUCCAUCCUUGCCUUUGUGGAAACCUGUACUUGCCGUCUUUCAUCAAGGAUUUUUCCUAGAGGAUCUAGACUGGUCCUCUUACGGGAAGGACAAUUUUAGACAAAAUUGCAGAGCAUGAAUUCAAUAGACCCUUUCAGGAUUUAUCUAGAUCUUCUCAUAGCCUAGGAGGUGGCCUUCAUCCCUUUGCUGCCUCUGGGUGAGUCUACCCCCAAUGUUUUACUGAAAUGAGAGGAACAACCCUCACCAGGUCCUCAGGCACUGCCAAGGGCAUGCUCUUUACCAAGGGUCAUCACUGCCUUAUAGAACUUGACACUGUAAGCUUUCAAUGAGCAACCUUGAGACUAUGCAUGAAGUUGAUGUUACAAAAUGCCCGUCAACUAUCGACUCUUGCAUCUGAGAAGGAAAUCCGGCAGGAAACACCUUUACAAAUAGGUGUUGUAUCAUAGCUUGCUUGACACUUCCUCAAAAUAAAACCACAAGGUAUGUGGUUGGGGGUGAGGCAGGUCAGGAGGGAGAGGUAAGGCGACACACACACCACUGUUGACCAGAAUAGGGAAGCUGGGAAAACUGAGCUAAACAAACCCAGUUAGAGGAGUGAGGCAGACCCUCGGAACCAGACGAGAUAGGCUAGGUUGUUUUUUGUCAACAGGCCACCAGGUACCUAGGGACCCAUGAUUUCUGCAAUUUGCUUUGUCUGUUCUUUGAGCCAAGGUUGGUAGCCAUGAGGUGAAAUACAGAAAGCUAAUGACCUUCUAUCACAUAUUGGAGUAAGACCGAAUCCUAACUGUGCAGGCUGAGGAAAGCAACUCUUUUGGGGGUCUAAACAGGAUGGGAGCCCGUCUGUACUCCUCACACCACUCACAGGGAGAGCUGGUAACUAACGUGGGCUACAGGUCAUCUGAAUUCCUAAAACCCUGCCUCCUUUUCCUCCCCCACCACAAGGAAACAGGCAUCCCUGGGAGAACAUACCUUCCAAACACAUACCAGUGCAGAAACUGGGCUCCCACUGAGGAAGAUGAGUACUGGGCAGUACAGCAGAGAUGCCCACUAGUGGGGAAGCGAAGCAAGUCCCUUGAAUUUUAGAUCAGGGCUAGGGUGUUAAGUGGAAAGGCCCGUCCCUCAAUCUUCCUCCGACAGACCUUUUGGUCUUGGGGGGUGAAACAAAGCAGAAACGGAGGCAGGAUGCGCAGAAUAACCAACCUACUUCCAAAGGGAACUGGCCACCUGCUGCACGUCACAGCAUUGUGGGAGGGCUGCGGGCUGCAGACCUGGCAAGUCCUGGCCCCGUCUCCGAGUAAGAAAGACCAGGGCAACUACUUGAUUCUGACCUGACUUCAUCUCUGAAGUCCCAAAGCAACCUUGGCCAGCAGUGGGUGCAGUCAGGACACCUCAUCUCACUUCGGGUACCAUGGGUGACUUAGACCCCUGAAGGUAAAGGUGUCUUAUGAUAGGCUAACUGCUGAGAAGGGUGAGCUUGUAUGCACUGAGGAGAAUUCAAGUCUAGGUGGGCAGACUGGCUCCCAGCCUCCCAGCCGCUCUGUGCCCCCAUGUAAGGGCAGAGGCCGCUCCACAAAGCUUUGCUUUCCCGCUGCUGCAGGUCCGGAGCUUGGGAUGGGGGAGUAUUGGCAUUUAGCCCAACUCCACUGACAGGAUUUAAUUUGUACCAUGUACCCAUUUCUUUGGUUUUAUGGUCAGAUGAAAAUUUACUCAAGAGAACAGCUGUCUAGAUGCUUGGAUUUUGUCAUCAAGUCUAUGUUCCUAGUCACUCUACUAUAUUCCCUGGCAAAAUAAUGUUUAUUCUUGAACUAUUAUGGACUCAGGAUCUUGUUUCAGAAACACUAAGCACACUGAAAUUUCUUGAUUUUGUCUGGUUCUUACUGAUCUUAUAAAGCUCUUGGUGGACGAGUUUAAUACCCACUGCCAACGGAGUCAGGCCAUUUAUCAAUUGUCUCAUUUAUGGAUGCACUAGCCUAUUCAUUAAUACAGGCAGCUGGAGGCUUCUUCUUACAGACUUCCUGGGCUCUGCGUUGGCAGGCCAGGGUGGCAUUGCCAUCCAUCUUUCAACAAGCCCAGGGCCUGAAACCAGGGCUAAUUUUGCCAUUGCAGGUAGAAAGGCAAUUUGUAAGGUAGUCACCUUGCCAGAAAUCAAUGCUGUUCUAAGGGAAGCUUUCCUGAGAGGCAUCCGACUGCAGGAGGCAGAGACUGAGACAUACUGAGAUUCAGGAGACAGUGAGUCAGUCAGCAGGAACGGUUUAUUCCACCGCUUUAUUCCUCACGCUUCCAGUGGAAGACAAGCCGGAGCCACAGCACCCACUGCCUGAGGUUCAACAUUUCUGGAAGAAGUGGAGCCUGUUUUGUUUAGAUGAGACGGAAUGGGGCAAGAGCGCAUUCCUUAAACCUUUCAGAAGCUAUCAUGAGGCUGUAGGGAGUACUGACCGGGGGGCUUGUCCAGAGUGCAAACUCCGGUCUACUUGGCAGGGGCGAGAACAUUUUUUAAAAAAUGCUUUCUAACAGUAUGUAUAAAAACAAAACAUGUGCAUACAUAUAUACAGAAUUUUUAUACUGGAUAUACCUAUGCUGGAUAGGACAACAAACCUCCUUGGUAAGUCCGUGGUACCACAAAAUGUUUGUUAAAAAGAGACUUAUGCAUAGGAGCUUAACUCCCUUUAUAAGCAGCCUUCGCAUGGCACGAUUCUCCAUGUUGGGAUGUACGUGUGGGUGAGGACAGCGUGGUUUUGUACAUUUUCUGAGAACACUGUAAUGGGACCAUGAGAUUCUACUGUAGGAGCCGUCUCCUCCUAAUGUCUGUUGGUAGAGUAAUAACAACUUAGUUUUCCUGAGCACAGAUUUGUAGGGCACAGGAGAGGCAGAGGGCUAUGCUGAGAACAGAAAGUAACUGGAGUCAGUGUGAUUUUUAUGUGGGAGGAGCUAAUGUAUGUGCUCUGUCUGGGGAGGGAUUCUGACCUCAAAAUCGUACCUCAGCUGCAUACAGCUGGCAUGUUACAGAUGAAAGGUUGGGGCUCCAGCCCCAGCCCCCACGUUUAAGGGCAGAUGCACAGUGGUCUCAGAAGCAUCGUGGC